AUUGAACGCUGGCGGCAUGCCUUACACAUGCAAAUCGAACGGUAACGGGCCUUCGGGUGCCGACGAGUGGCGAACGGGUGAGUAAUACAUCGGAACGUUCCCGAUCGUGGGGGAUAACGAGGCGAAAGCUUUGCUAAUACCGCAUACGAUCUACGGAUGAAAGCAGGGGACCGCAAGGCCUUGCGCGGACGGAGCGGCCGAUGGCAGAUUAGGUAGUUGGUGGGAUAAAAGCUUACCAAGCCGACGAUCUGUAGCUGGUCUGAGAGGAUGAUCAGCCACACUGGGACUGAGACACGGCCCAGACUCCUACGGGAGGCAGCAGUGGGGAAUUUUGGACAAUGGGCGCAAGCCUGAUCCAGCCAUGCCGCGUGCAGGAUGAAGGCCUUCGGGUUGUAAACUGAUUUUGUACGGAACGAAAAGCCUUCUUUUAAUACAGGAGGGUCAUGACGGUACCGUAAGAAUAAGCACCGGCUAACUACGUG
rnacentral:rRNA from 1 species